UACGUAGGGGGCAAGCGUUGUCCGGAUUUAUUGGGCGUAAAGGGCGCGUAGGCGGCCAACUAAGUCAGGCGUGAAAGCCCCGGGCUCAACCUGGGAACUGCGCUUGAGACUGGCACGCUAGAGUUCGGGAGAGGAUGGUGGAAUUCCCAGUGUAGAGGUGAAAUUCGUAGAUAUUGGGAAGAACACCGAUGGCGAAGGCAGCCAUCUGGACCGACACUGACGCUGAGGCGCGAAAGCGUGGGGAGCAAACAGG
rnacentral:rRNA from 1 species